GGCCAGCUGACACAUCCCGGCCAAUCUCCAGCAGACCAUCCCUCCCACCUCCUGGACAGCAUCCAUGUUGAAGUUGCCUUCAACAUGGAUGCUGUCCAGGAGGUGGGAGGGUCUGGGAGGGAGGGUCUGCUGGAGAUUGGCCGGGAUGUGUCAG